GGGAUUGGCUUUGGGCCUUUCCUGCGCAGCUUAGGUGGAAGGCGAAGAAGGCCCCCUUCCGGGGGGGGGGCCCGAGCCAUCAGUGAGAUACCACUCUGGAAGAGCUCUGAUUCUAACCUUGUGUGUGAAAUCAUAGAUCAAACUGCC
rnacentral:ncRNA from 1 species